GGGUUGUGAGGUUAAGCGACUAAGCGUACACGGUGGAUGCCCUGGCAGUCAGAGGCGAUGAAGGACGUGCUAAUCUGCGAAAAGCGUCGGUAAGGUGAUAUGAACCGUUAUAACCGGCGAUGUCCGAAUGGGGAAACCCAGUGCAAUUCGUUGCACUAUCGUUAACUGAAUACAUAGGUUAACGAGGCGAACCGGGGGAACUGAAACAUCUAAGUACCCCGAGGAAAAGAAAUCAACCGAGAUUCCCCCAGUAGCGGCGAGCGAACGGGAGCAGCCCAGAGUCUGAAUCAGCUUGUGUUAGUGGAACGGUCUGGAAAGUCCGACGGUACAGGGUGAUAGUCCCGUACACCAAAAUGCACAGGCUCGAACGGGACACGUCCUGGAAUAUGUCCGGCUAGGUACCAGGGUGGUCCCUAAAAGAAAAUGGGCGAGAUAGUGAAAGAACCUGAAAUACUCUGACUGACCGAUAGUGAACCAGUACCGUGAGGAAAGGCGAAAAGAACCCCGGCGAGGGAGUGAAAAAGAACCUGAAACCGUGUACGUACAAGCAGUGGGAGCACCUUCGGGUGUGACUGCGUACCUUUUGUAUAAUGGGUCAGCGACUUAUAUUCUGUAGCAAGGUUAACCGUAUAGGGGAGCCGCAGGGAAACCGAGUCUUAACUGGGCGUUAAGUUGCAGGGUAUAGACCCGAAACCCGGUGAUCUAGCCAUGGGCAGGUUGAAGGUUGGGUAACACUAACUGGAGGACCGAACCGACUAAUGUUGAAAAAUUAGCGGAUGACUUGUGGCUGGGGGUGAAAGGCCAAUCAAACCGGGAGAUAGCUGGUUCUCCCCGAAAGCUAUUUAGGUAGCGCCUCGUGAACUCAUCUUCGGGGGUAGAGCACUGUUUCGGCUAGGGGGUCAUCCCGACUUACCAACCCGAUGCAAACUACGAAUACCGAAGAAUGUUAUCACGGGAGACACACGGCGGGUGCUAACGUCCGUCGUGAAGAGGGAAACAACCCAGACCGCCAGCUAAGGUCCCAAAGUCAUGGUUAAGUGGGAAACGAUGUGGGAAGGCACAGACAGCCAGGAUGUUGGCUUAGAAGCAGCCAUCAUUUAAAGAAAGCGUAAUAGCUCACUGGUCGAGUCGGCCUGCGCGGAAGAUGUAACGGGGCUAAACCAUGCACCGAAGCUGCGGCAGCGACACUAUGUGUUGUUGGGUAGGGGAGCGUUCUGUAAGCCUGCGAAGGUGUGCUGUGAGGCAUGCUGGAGGUAUCAGAAGUGCGAAUGCUGACAUAAGUAACGAUAAAGCGGGUGAAAAGCCCGCUCGCCGGAAGACCAAGGGUUCCUGUCCAACGUUAAUCGGGGCAGGGUGAGUCGACCCCUAAGGCGAGGCCGAAAGGCGUAGUCGAUGGGAAACAGGUUAAUAUUCCUGUACUUGGUGUUACUGCGAAGGGGGGACGGAGAAGGCUAUGUUAGCCGGGCGACGGUUGUCCCGGUUUAAGCAUGUAGGCUGGUUAUCCAGGCAAAUCCGGAUAAUCAAGGCUGAGGUGUGAUGACGAGGCACUACGGUGCUGAAGUAACAAAUGCCCUGCUUCCAGGAAAAGCCUCUAAGCAUCAGGUAACAUCAAAUCGUACCCCAAACCGACACAGGUGGUCAGGUAGAGAAUACCAAGGCGCUUGAGAGAACUCGGGUGAAGGAACUAGGCAAAAUGGUGCCGUAACUUCGGGAGAAGGCACGCUGGUGUGUAGGUGAAGUCCCUGCGGAUGGAGCUGAGACCAGUCGAAGAUACCAGCUGGCUGCAACUGUUUAUUAAAAACACAGCACUGUGCAAACACGAAAGUGGACGUAUACGGUGUGACGCCUGCCCGGUGCCGGAAGGUUAAUUGAUGGGGUUAUCCGUAAGGAGAAGCUCUUGAUCGAAGCCCCGGUAAACGGCGGCCGUAACUAUAACGGUCCUAAGGUAGCGAAAUUCCUUGUCGGGUAAGUUCCGACCUGCACGAAUGGCGUAAUGAUGGCCAGGCUGUCUCCACCCGAGACUCAGUGAAAUUGAACUCGCUGUGAAGAUGCAGUGUACCCGCGGCAAGACGGAAAGACCCCGUGAACCUUUACUAUAGCUUGACACUGAACAUUGAGCCUUGAUGUGUAGGAUAGGUGGGAGGCUUUGAAGCGUGGACGCCAGUCUGCGUGGAGCCAACCUUGAAAUACCACCCUUUAAUGUUUGAUGUUCUAACGUUGGCCUUACCGGGGUUGCGGACAGUGUCUGGUGGGUAGUUUGACUGGGGCGGUCUCCUCCCAAAGCGUAACGGAGGAGCACGAAGGUUAGCUAAUCCUGGUCGGACAUCAGGAGGUUAGUGCAAUGGCAUAAGCUAGCUUGACUGCGAGCGUGACGGCGCGAGCAGGUGCGAAAGCAGGUCAUAGUGAUCCGGUGGUUCUGAAUGGAAGGGCCAUCGCUCAACGGAUAAAAGGUACUCCGGGGAUAACAGGCUGAUACCGCCCAAGAGUUCAUAUCGACGGCGGUGUUUGGCACCUCGAUGUCGGCUCAUCACAUCCUGGGGCUGAAGUAGGUCCCAAGGGUAUGGCUGUUCGCCAUUUAAAGUGGUACGCGAGCUGGGUUUAGAACGUCGUGAGACAGUUCGGUCCCUAUCUGCCGUGGGCGCUGGAGAAUUGAGGGGGGCUGCUCCUAGUACGAGAGGACCGGAGUGGACGCAUCACUGGUGUUCGGGUUGUCAUGCCAAUGGCACUGCCCGGUAGCUAAAUGCGGAAGAGAUAAGUGCUGAAAGCAUCUAAGCACGAAACUUGCCCCGAGAUGAGUUCUCCCUGAGACUUUAAGUCUCCUGAAGGAACGUUAAAGACGAUGACGUUGAUAGGCCGGGUGUGUAAGCGCAGCGAUGCGUUGAGCUAACCGGUACUAAUGAACCGUGAGGCUUAACCUUACAACGCCGAAG
rnacentral:rRNA from 1 species